ACAAGAGUAGCUAGUUUUUGUGACGGAGGCCAGCAGGAGUCACUGUCCAUGUGGUCGUCAAUGGGCCUCACUCCCCUGACAGCCAAAGGAUACUCUGG